GAUGAACGCUGGCGGCGUGCCUAAUACAUGCAAGUCGAGCGAACAGAUGAGGAGCUUGCUCCUCUGACGUUAGCGGCGGACGGGUGAGUAACACGUGGAUAACCUACCUAUAAGACUGGGAUAACUUCGGGAAACCGGAGCUAAUACCGGAUAAUAUAUUGAACCGCAUGGUUCAAUAGUGAAAGACGGUUUUGCUGUCACUUAUAGAUGGAUCCGCGCCGCAUUAGCUAGUUGGUAAGGUAACGGCUUACCAAGGCAACGAUGCGUAGCCGACCUGAGAGGGUGAUCGGCCACACUGGAACUGAGACACGGUCCAGACUCCUACGGGAGGCAGCAGUAGGGAAUCUUCCGCAAUGGGCGAAAGCCUGACGGAGCAACGCCGCGUGAGUGAUGAAGGUCUUCGGAUCGUAAAGCUCUGUUAUUAGGGAAGAACAAAUGUGUAAGUAACUAUGCACGUCUUGACGGUACCUAAUCAGAAAGCCACGGCUAGCUACGUG
rnacentral:rRNA from 1 species